rnacentral:rRNA from 1 species
CCUACGGGUGGCAGCAGUGAGGAAUAUUGGUCAAUGGGCGCGAGCCUGAACCAGCCAAGUAGCGUGAAGGAUGACUGCCCUACGGGUUGUAAACUUCUUUUAUAAAGGAAUAAAGUGAGGCACGUGUGCCUUUUUGUAUGUACUUUAUGAAUAAGGAUCGGCUAACUCCGUGCCAGCAGCCGCGGUAAUACGGAGGAUUCGAGCGUUAUCCGGAUUUAUUGGGUUUAAAGGGAGCGUAGAUGGGCGGUUAAGUUAGUUGUGAAAGUUUGAGGCUCAACCGUGAAAUUGCAAUUGAUACUGGCAGUCUAGAGAACAGUUGAGGUAGGCGGAAUGCAUGGUGUAGCGGUGAAAUGCUUAGAGAUCACAAAGAACACCGAUUGCGAAGGCAGCUUACUAAGCUGCCACUGACAUUGAGGCUCGAAAGUGUGGGGAUCAAACAGGAUUAGAUACCCUAGUAGUC